AACAUAGUUAAAUAAAUAAAUAAAGUCCUGUUCUGACAUACUGGGGGUUAGGACUUCAAACAUAUGAAUUUUUGGAGAAUACCAGUACACAGUAGGUAGGGUAGUGUAAAAUAUUCAGGGGCCAUUAAAAAAAAAUGUGGCCAUAAAUAAUGCUGCUUGAAUAUUUCCAUGCGUAUAUCUUAAAACACAAAAAGUACAAAGUGCAAAGGACA